GCUCCUACAGCUUACCCAAAUAUUAAGACAUGGAGAAGGCAGGUUCACUAAAAUUCACUUGCUUAGUGGUUCUGUUGGUUUUGGUCAUGGCAACAGGAGGAGACAUGUCAAGGUCGAUAGUGAAUGGGGCGGAAGAAAUGCCACCAACGCGAUGCCUAUCCGACGAUGACUGUCAUAUCGUUGGCGGGUGGCAUGGGUGCCCUACAGCAAAAUGCAUUGACAACUACUGUAAAUGCGUUAAGUAACAAAGAACUAAUAUUGCAUUAGUUUCAUAAUCGUCGUCAUCUUGAUCUAUGCUUCUUUCAAAGUAAGACUGAUUAAUCUUUUCAUUGGAAGGGAUUAAAAGGUCAAUUAUCAAUAAAAAAAAAUAAUUAUAUA